rnacentral:rRNA from 1 species
AUUGAACGCUGGCGGCAGGCCUAACACAUGCAAGUCGAACGAGUGGCGGACGGGUGAGUAAUGGCUGGGAAACUGCCUGAUGGAGGGGGAUAACUACUGGAAACGGUAGCUAAUAACGCAUACCAUCAGAUGUGCCCAGAUGGGAUUAGCUAGUAGGUGGGGUAAUGGCUCACCAAGGCGACGAUACAUAGCUGGUCUGAGAGGAGGACCAGCCACACUGGAACUUAGACACGGUCCAGCCUCCUACGCGAGGCAUCAGUGGGGAAUAGUGCACAAUGGGCGCAAGCCUGAUGCAGCCAUGCCGCGUGUAUGAAGAAGGCCUUCGGGUUGUAAAGUACUUUCAGCGGGGAGGCGUUACCCGCAGAAGAAGCACCGGCUAACUCCGUGCCAGCAGCCGCGGUAAUUC